UGCCAGCCGCCGCGGUAAUACGGAGGGUGCAAGCGUUAUCCGGAAUCACUGGGUUUAUAGGGUGCGUAGGUGGCACGAUAAGUCAGAGGUGAAAGGCCGUCGCUCAACGAUGGAAUUGCCUUUGAUACUGUUGUGCUUGAAUCAAGUUGAGGUAAGCAGAAUGUGGCAUGUAGCGGUGAAAUGCAUAGAUAUGCCAUAGAAUACCGAUUGCGAAGGCAGCUUACUGGACUUGUAUUGACACUGAGGCACGAAAGCGUGGGGAGCGAACAGGAUUAGAUA
rnacentral:rRNA from 1 species